UGCGCUGAGCAUCCACCCCCGGCCCAGUGCUGGGGGGCUGCGAGACUUCCACUAGCUUUGAGGGAGGCGGGGAGAGGGCGUUUUUCUCCUAUUUUGGUUUUUGGUGUGCCCACGCAUCUCCCUAGAAAGGGUCUGGACCAGGCAAUGAAGGUUAAGAGGGAAGACAUAUGCAAAUCAUUAAGCCCAGAUCACAUCUAGAAGCCCAGCCUGUGCAUUCAGCAAGAGAGAUACUGAGGCAGGAUAGUGAGUUCAAAGCCAGCCUGAAAGACUUGGUGAGACUCGGUAUCAAAACACAGAGUGAAAAGAGACUUUGGGGCUGAGGUGGCGACUGUGGGAGCUGCUCCAAACAUCCUGGGCAGCUCCAGUGUCCAGCAGGACAGCAAUGAGAGGGAUCAAGCUGGUCAGGCAUGGAGCCCAGCGCCCAGAACAUUCCUGCAGCUAAAUGAAAGGAAAGUGCUGAUGGCUGGCUUUCCCUUCUGCUCAUCAGCUCCAGCCUUUCCAUCCCCAAGCUAAGCUAGGCACAGCCUCUUCCCCCAGGGAGCCCUCCAGGGUUCCUAAUAUCCGGACCCAGCACUACAUGUAGCCUCCCUCAGGCUGGAGGAAAGUCAUCUCUCCGAGGGGAAGGCCCAUGCCAGGGGAAUGGAGGCUUUGGCCACCAACCUGUGAUUGGAUGAGAAGCUGGACCCUGCCCAGGAUCCCCUCAGGGUCUUAGGCGACUCCUGUGAGAGGCUGUGGGGUGGAGAACUGCGGCUGGAGGGCAGGGUCCUGACCCUCCUGCCUGUGUCCCCAUGCCUGCUUACUGUGGUACUGGGGAUGGAGCCCAGGGUCAUGUGAUGCCAGGAGAGUGGCCUAUCCAAGGAGCCUCAGCCCAGAAGUAUUUCAUGCUGCAGCAUACUCAACCUGCUUCAGGAGGGACCGCCACAGGGCCAGGUGUAAAAUGUUCCACUUAAAAUGCAGUACACUUUCUUACGU